rnacentral:rRNA from 1 species
UCUUUCCUACGGGAGGCAGCAGUAGGGAAUCUUCCACAAUGGGCGAAAGCCUGAUGGAGCAACGCCGCGUGGGUGAGGAAGGUCUUCGGAUCGUAAAACCCUGUUGUUAGAGAAGAAAGUGCGUGAGAGUAACUGUUCACGUUUCGACGGUAUCUAACCAGAAAGCCACGGCUAACUACGUGCCAGCAGCCGCGGUAAUACGUAGGUGGCAAGCGUUAUCCGGAUUUAUUGGGCGUAAAGGGAACGCAGACGGUCUUUUAAGUCUGAUGUGAAAGCCUUCGGCUUAACCGCAGU